rnacentral:rRNA from 1 species
AACUCAAAGGAAUUGACGGGGGCCCGCACAAGCGGUGGGUGAUGUGGAUUAAUUCGAUGCAACGCGAAAAACCUUACCUACCCUUGACAUGCCACUAACGAAGCAGAGAUGCAUUAGGUGCUCGAAAGAGAAAGUGGACACAGGUGCUGCAUGGCUGUCGUCAGCUCGUGUCGUGAGAUGUUGGGUUAAGUCCCGCAACGAGCGCAACCCUUGUCUCUAGUUGCUACGAAAGGGCACUCUAGAGAGACUGCCGGUGACAAACCGGAGGAAGGUGGGGAUGACGUCAAGUCCUCAUGGCCCUUAUGGGUAGGGCUUCACACGUCAUACAAUGGUGCAUACAGAGGGUUGCCAAGCCGCGAGGUGGAGCUAAUCCCAGAAAAUGCAUCGUAGUCCGGAUCGUAGUCUGCAACUCGACUACGUGAAGCUGGAAUCGCUAGUAAUCGCGGAUCAGCAUGCUGCGGUGAAUACGUUCCCGGGCCUUGUACACACCGCCCGUC